CUUCCAAUAUUAUUUCAAUUGUCAUGCAGAGUAAAAUAAAAUAAUAAAUACAAAAUACUCAUUAAGUCGGAAUAGCAUACACUUAUAAUAUAUUCUAAUUUCUAAUAUAAUAUUCUAUUAGAAGAAGUCUUUGUGUGAUAGUAAUUUUAGUAUUCAGUUCAUAGAUAACAUAUAAAAUUCAAUUGUAUCUUGUAUAGUACGGUACUACGGUAGAUUGUAGAGACUAUACUAGUAUACUACUAUAGAAACGUCGAGCACGAACGCUACAACGCGAGCAACAACUGUAUUUGAUUUAUAGAGGAGAAGUUAUUUAAAUUCACUAUUAUUUAAUAUUUUAGUAGAUUAUUAUAAAAUGGAUUUUGAAAAGGUAAAGGAAAAAACUUUUGAAGAUGCACAUAAAGGUAAUAUUGACCAAGUUAUGAAAGCAGUUGAAGAGCAUUUGAGGCUGUUAAAAGAAGUCGAUGUUAACAAUCGUUUGCUCCUUCAUUGGGCUGCACUUGGAGGCCAUGAUAGACUUGUACGAUAUCUUCUUGAAAAUGGUCAACCAGAAGAUUCUCGAGAUGAUAUGCAAACAACUCCUCUUAUAUUGGCAGCAUCAGGUGGCCGUAUUGAUAUAGUGAAAACUCUUAUAGAAUAUGGAGUAGAUAUUAACGCGAAAAAUCAAGAAGGUCAUUCUGCACUUCAAUAUGCAGCUUCAAAAGGAUGGACUGAAAUUGUCAGAUAUUUAGUAUCAAAAGGUGCUGAUGUUAAUAUAGCUGAUAAUAGAGGAGCAACACCAUUACAUAGAUGUGCAUCAAAAGGAAACACAGCCGUGUUAAAAAUGUUAUUGGAUUGUGAUGUACAUGUAGAUGCUAAAGACAGCUAUGGAAACACACCACUUCAUUUAGCUUGUGAAGAGGGACGUAUACAAGAAGCUGGAUUAUUGAUUAAAAGUGGAGCUGAUAGUACUCUCCUAAAUAAAGAAAAAUUAACACCUUUUGAUUUAGCACCAUCUGAUGUUCAAGGCAUUUUGAGAAAAAUCUAAAAUAUUAUAUUGUCUUGGAGACUUUGUGAGAUGUGUGGGAAACUUUCACUAAGGGCGUCAAGAGUUAAACGACGAUCAUCGCGAACUUUUUCUUCAACCUGCUGUAGAAGCUCAUCUGAAAUGACGGAUGGUCUUCCACACCUUUCUUCAAUAAUCUAACCCACUUGGUAACAUGCUGACGUGUCAUCACCUCGGAUCCAUAGGUUUCCACAAGCUGGCGAUGAAUACUGGCCGUGGAUUCGUUACGCAAAGGAAUCGAAUAACAGAGCGCAUCUCACACCUACGGUAGGUGGAGCGAUUGGAGGACUAACUGUUUGUCGCGUUUGGCUGCCGUGACGACAUUUCGUAACGGUCUGAGACAUUUGAUGAUUUGUUUUGAUCAUUAGAAAAUUCUCUACAUAAGAGUGGUGACAACUCUGAAAAACAAAAUUCCCUUCGUCCUACACAGCCCUUGCAACCUUACUUUCUGGACGUCCUUCGUAUAAGCUCAAUGCAUUAUCUAAAAAUAAUAGAUGUGCUAAUUUGAAAGUAAUUUGUGAAGAUCAAAACAAAUACAACACUAAUAAAUGUCUUUGAACUAUUAGCAUAUGUUUUUGAAUCUUGUAAAAUACCUAUUAAUUAUGAUACUACUUUAGUACUUACGUAAAUAUAAUUUUAAUUUGUAUAUGAUUAUUUGUAAUUAUGUGCAA